rnacentral:rRNA from 1 species
UACGAAGGGGGCUAGCGUUGCUCGGAAUUACUGGGCGUAAAGCGCACGUAGGCGGAUUGUUAAGUCGGGGGUGAAAUCCUGGAGCUCAACUCCAGAACUGCCUUCGAUACUGGCGAUCUCGAGUUCGGGAGAGGUGAGUGGAACUGCGAGUGUAGAGGUGAAAUUCGUAGAUAUUCGCAAGAACACCAGUGGCGAAGGCGGCUCACUGGCCCGGUACUGACGCUGAGGUGCGAAAGCGUGGGGAGCAAACAGG